rnacentral:rRNA from 1 species
UGGGGAAUUUUGGACAAUGGGCGAAAGCCUGAUCCAGCAAUGCCGCGUGUGUGAAGAAGGCCUUCGGGUUGUAAAGCACUUUUGUCCGGAAAGAAAUCCUUGGCUCUAAUACAGUCGGGGGAUGACGGUACCGGAAGAAUAAGCACCGGCUAACUACGUGCCAGCAGCCGCGGUAAUACGUAGGGUGCAAGCGUUAAUCGGAAUUACUGGGCGUAAAGCGUGCGCAGGCGGUUUGCUAAGACCGAUGUGAAAUCCCCGGGCUCAACCUGGGAACUGCAUUGGUGACUGGCAGGCUAGAGUAUGGCAGAGGGGGGUAGAAUUCCACGUGUAGCAGUGAAAUGCGUAGAGAUGUGGAGGAAUACCGAUGGCGAAGGCAGCCCCCUGGGCCAAUACUGACGCUCAUGCACGAAAGCGUGGGGAGCAAACAGGAUUAGAUACCCUGGUAGUCACGCCCUAAACGAUGUCAACUAGUUGUUGGGGAUUCAUUUCCUUAGUAACGUAGCUAACGCGUGAAGUUGACCGCCUGGGGAGUACGGUCGCAAGAUUAAAACUUAAAGGAAUUGACGGGGUCAUAGCUGUUUCCU